UCCGAGUUAGUAUAUCGGCUAGUAUAUCCGCCUUUCAUGACAGGGGCGCGGAGGAGACGGGUUCGAUUCCCGUACUCGGAA
rnacentral:tRNA from 1 species